rnacentral:rRNA from 1 species
CAGUCCACGCCCUAAACGAUGUUAACUCGAUGUUUGUAUUUAUAUGAGCAUCCAAGGGAAACCGUUAAGUUAACCACCUGGGAAGUACGUUCGCAAAAAUGAAACUCAAAGGAAUUGACGGGGGCCCGCACAAGCGGUGGAGCAUGUGGUUUAAUUCGAUGAUACGCGAGGAACCUUACCAGGGCUUAAAUGUAAAUUGACAGGUUUAGAGAUAGACUUUUCUUCGGACAAUUUACAAGGUGCUGCAUGGUUGUCGUCAGCUCGUGCCGUGAGGUGUCAGGUUAAGUCCUAUAACGAGCGCAACCCCUGUUGUUAGUUGCCAGCGAGUCAUGUCGGGAACUCUAACAAGACUGCCAGUGCAAACUGUGAGGAAGGUGGGGAUGACGUCAAAUCAUCACGGCCCUUACGUCCUGGGCUACACACGUGCUACAAUGGUAGGGACAGAGAGCAGCCACUGCGCGAGCAGGAGCGAAUCUAUAAACCCUAUCACAGUUCGGAUCGGAGUCUGC